AGAGUUCACGCGAACCUCCCUCUCCUUCAAGUCCAUCUCCCACCCAUCCACCCACCCACCCACCGCAAUCAUGCCGCCGAAGGCUGGUCAGACGAAGAAGGCCAAGAUGGAGGCCGCCAACAAGGGCGCGAAGAAGACCACGAAGAAGUGGAGCAAGGGCCAGUCCCGAGAGGCUCUGCAGAACGCCGUGAUGUUCGACAAGGAGACGUACGACAAGCUCCGCAGCGAGGUGCCCAAGUACAAACUCAUCACCCCGUCGAUCAUCUCCGACCGCCUCAAGAUCGCCGUCUCCAUCGCCGCCGCUGGCCUCAAGCAGCUGUGCCGCGAAAAGCUCAUCCGCCUGGUGUCGUGCUCCAGCAAGACCCGCGUGUACACGCGCAUCGUGCAGGCCGCCCCGGCUGAGGCGGCUGCCGCCGCUCCGGCUGCCGAGUAGAAAAACAGGAAAGCGAGCGAGUCAGCGAGCGCGAUCGGGCAUGAGUAGUGGAGGUUCAUAGGUGUGGAACGAAGGCGUGGGAUGGGCAGAGGUGGAGAGGAGAGAGGUGCGUGAUGGGGUAGAACGCCGCCACGGCGCCGGUCCGCAUCAGCACCACCACCCACACGUCUCCAUCCUCCCACACAUUUUCCCUCUGUUACGGAUCGCCGCCAUGCAUGAGGGCGUGCGCGUCUGAGGUUCUUCUCUCGCUCUCCGUGGGCGCCUUCCCCCCCCGCCAACUACCACCACCCCCGCGCUUCUCGAGCUGCGGGCAGCGUGCGUUGCACAUGCGCACAUGUGGCGAGUCGCGCCAGGGGUGGAGGCAAAGCAAGCGUGUCCUUUCUUUAUGUUUUUUUUUUGAUGUUUUUAUGAUCAUCUGUGUCUUGUGGAGGUGCACCGCCGUGCCCUGGUCGCUGUCCUCUCCGUCCCUCUUUCUCUCUCUGUCUCGCCCACUGCGAUCGUCGGAGUGGGGAGGAGGGGAGUGCGUGAGGGGCGUCGAAGGCAUGUGCAAGACUCACGUCCACGUCAGGAGAUGAGCCAUAC
rnacentral:misc_RNA from 1 species